AAAGUAUUUAACUAUAUUUGGAUGAGUGAGCUGACAUAAUAAAGUGACCUCUGCCUCAAGUUGGUCAACAAUCCCUUCAUCUGGCAGUAGAAGUUCCUUCACAGCGAAGAAGAAUCCAUCAGCCGCAAGUCCUUCAUAAACUGAUCCAAAUGAUCCCCUCCCCAGUUGCUUACCCCUCUGCCAAUUUCUAAUGUUACGACCUAGUCUUCUUAUCUUUUGGAAUCGAGACAUCAGCGGAUCACUUUUAUUGCAUUCAUGGUUCAAAAAUUUUCUCUUCUUGCGAUUAAUAGCUCCCUUAGUCUUGCGUACCUUAAUUAUGCGUCUGCCCUUAUUUAUGCGUAGUGACUCAUUAAUGUCUUCAAGCUCCAACCCUUUAAAAGAGAACAAAUGGACGAUUGAUGUACCAAAAACACUAUAAAAUCCGUCUCCGAAAAACGAUACCUGUUUAGAUAGAGAUGCUACAAAACGAUGUUUAAUUAGACGAUCAACAUAAGCCUCCCUCCUACUUUUGCUAUUCACAUAGCUCAGUUCUGUGCUCCAUUGGCACCCCAACAAAGCUUCAGGGAAUUCUAGAACUUCAGAAUCAAUGAACUCACCAUCUAUGAUC
rnacentral:misc_RNA from 1 species